AUGAUAUAUCAACAAUUUCCAAAAACUUCGUCCAUGCUAGUCAAUGUUGACCUUCUUCUCGGUAUAUACAUCGGAUAUAUGGUUCUAAAGUAUAUAAUGUAUGGGCAGUUUUCUAUUAAAUCAAAUGUCUAUAGUUUUGGCGUGUUGAUUUUAGAAAUUGUAAGUGGACAAAAAAAUAGUUGUUUUCGUUGUGGAGAGAAUGUGAAUGAUCUUUUAAGUAUGUGAAUUUAUAUAUUAGUGAAAUUGAAUUGCAAUGAUCAAAUUAAUUUAUUCUAAUUUAUAAAUUAUUGUAGGCAUGGAAAAAUUGGAGGGAAGGGACAGCUUCAAACCUUGACCUUGAGGACUGGUUCAAGAAGUGAAAUAAUGAGAUGCAUGCACAUAACAUUGGAUUACUAUGUGUGCAAGAAAAUGUGGCUGAUAAGCCAACCAUGGCUUUUGUUAUUGUGAUGCUGAAUGGCUACUCCCUCAGUCUCCCUGUGCCCUCACAGACAUUCGACAUGUCUUUGGGAUCGGAGGGCAAUUCCAGGGCAACAGGGUUGGAUCAAUACAAGAACAACUCUAACAAAGCACCAGAAAAUGAGGCUUCGUUAAUAUAUGAAAAAGAAAUUAUAUUGAUGUAA
rnacentral:lncRNA from 1 species